AUCGAUGGAGUAUUUUUACAGCGGUGACAUUGCUUAUUUAAAAACUUUUUUAUCGUACUGGAUCUGUUUCAUAGAAAUAAUAGAUGAGAUAUAAUAUAUAUUAUUUCUAUGAUGUGUGUUUGGUCAAUGGUCCGUCCAGUGUAUUCCUUAUUGUGGGGAAAUACGGGGGGAGGGGGUGCGUACCACUGUUGCAUAAUACUUUAUUCUGUGACCUUGCUGUCGGAAGUCCAAAAGCAGCCACUCUUCUCAACUCUCAAGAAUAUUGUCUGUAUUUUGUUGACCUCAAAUAUUUAAUACUUCUAAAUUCUAAUGCGCCGGAAAUUCCGAUUCAAAACAUGGUUCUAUUUGUUAUGAAUUUGCUGUUUUAAUAAAUUUUGCUUGAAGAAUGGAGACAGAAUUCGUUCGUCCAACACCGACUGUUGAGGAGCUAUUGUUCGUCAAACCAAACCCGAAAGUCGAGCACAUCGGACACGAUUCUCGCGCCCUGACGUGGAGUACAACAACGAAAGUUACCAUAACAGUUCUCACAUUUUUAGCUGUGUUUCUGGAACAUUUUUUCACUUUUAAACUACUUCGAUAUACUCCACUUUAUUUGUGCACACACUGGCUAACUAGCAUCAUCUUUAUUUUGAUCUUUCACCUUCUUGUCAAGCGGAAGUCAAGUUUUAAGUAAGUGUGUUUGCCACAUUAC